UUAUUUGUGAGUAUAGGUGCACGUUACACUGGAUCUUGGUCUGUGAGCAUAAACUUUGAAGAUGGAGUGAGGUUGAGCCAAGUCAUAGCCAGAUCAUUAUCAACUUGUACUUGUAUUCAUGGUAAUGUGGUUGAUUGAAGAAAAUGAUGAACUGAACUUUUUAAAUAGGUACCUAUAACCUAUCCAAAGAGAAGAACGUGCUGUCAAGCUGGAUUUCUCAAUGUAAGCAGUCUGUUCCAAGCACUGUUCUACUGAAAAUGUUCAUCCAACCACCCAACCAGUUCAUCCAACCAGCAACCUAUCCACUGAUGCUGUGGCUGAUGGCGGAGGCAAAGCACCAACUGUCCUUGAUGCCUGGUGUGUGCACAAGUAGAUGAGUGCCGUUCAUCGCCGCCGUCUUCCUGGACCUUCGCUCAUCGCCGUCGUCUGUCGGGGCCUGCAAUUCGGUCGUCGCCGUCUGCCGAGGCCAGCCAGCUCCACAUUGAUUCCUGCCUAUCGCCGCCGUUUGCGGGGACCUGCAAUGUCGCUGCCGUCGUCAGCCAGAGAAGCUGGUCACAGUCAUCGAAGAACAGUGAUAUCCGCCGUUCGAAGAGCUGUGUAAUAUAUAUCAUGUGUUGUCGCCUGUCAGUUCCCAGUGGAGUUCUCAUGUGCCGUCCGUCGACUGGCGUGUCCCAUGAUAUGACAUCUGAGGGUCACCCACCGGCCACCGUUUACCGGCGACUCUGAGGGCCAGCAGCCCCGAGUCCCUAGAUAUCCUCAGCUCGCACCCGGCAGCAGUCUCUGUCGCAUCUGGAGUGUAGUCUAUUCUAAAAUACUUGAUGCAUUGCGCUGCUUCUUGUGUUAAUCUGCUGGGAAACUUGGAAAGUGUUAACAACGAUAUAUGUGCGAAGUGGAAGCUGUGUAAAGUCGUCUGCAUAUUAAUUUCAACGGUGGUUAAUGCGAAGUGAUAUUGGUCGAAACUGUUUUGUUAUUCGUAAGCUUGUCAUUGAGUAUGACUUCAGGAAUGGAAUUGCGCGCCUCGCAAUAUCAACGAAAAAGUGAGA